GCCGCGGUAAGACAGAGGUGGCAAGCGUUGUUCGGAAUUACUGGGCGUAAAGAGUCUGUAGGUGGUUUGUCAAGUCUUUGGUGAAAGGCCGUAGCUUAACUAUGGGAAUGCCAAAGAGACUGGCAGGCUGGAGGCUGGGAGAGGGAAGCGGAAUUUCUGGUGUAGCGGUGAAAUGCGUAGAUAUCAGAAGGAAGGCCGGUGGCGAAGGCGGCUUCCUGGAACAGUCCUGACACUGAGAGACGAAAGCGUGGGGAGCAAACAGGAUUAGAUACCCUGGUAGUCCACGCCCUAAACGAUGGGUACUAAGUGUGGAGGGGUUAAACCCUCCGUGCCGCAGCAAACGCAGUAAGUACCCCGCUGGGGAUACGGCCGCAAGGUUAAAACUCAAAGGAAUUGACGGGGGCCGCACAAGCGGUGGUGCAUGUGGUUUAAUUCGACGCAACGCGAGGAACCUUACCUAGGCUUGACAUGUGGUGAGUAGCG
rnacentral:rRNA from 1 species